rnacentral:rRNA from 1 species
CCUACGGGUGGCAGCAGUGAGGAAUAUUGGUCAAUGGGCGAGAGCCUGAACCAGCCAAGUCGCGUGAGGGAGUACUGCCCUAUGGGUUGUAAACCUCUUUUGUCGGGGAGCAAAAGCCGGACGUGUCCGGCUGUGAGAGUACCCGAAGAAAAAGCAUCGGCUAACUCCGUGCCAGCAGCCGCGGUAAUACGUAGGAUGCGAGCAUUAUCCGGAUUUAUUGGGUUUAAAGGGUGCGCAGGCGGAAGAUCAAGUCAGCGGUAAAAUUGAGAGGCUCAACCUCUUCGAGCCGUUGAAACUGGUUUUCUUGAGUGAGUGAGAAGUAUGCGGAAUGCGUGGUGUAGCGGUGAAAUGCAUAGAUAUCGCGCAGAACUCUGAUUGCGAAGGCAGCGUACCGGCGCCAGACUGACGCUGAGGCACGAAAGCGUGGGGAUCGAACAGGAUUAGAUACCCUUGUAGUC